CAAAAACAAAGGGGCGACAGGAUGGUAAGGCCUGUUUCUGAGAGGGAUGAAUACAGCCCCCACCUGGACUGAGACCGGUUCCAGAAUCCUACGGGAGGCAGCAGUGAGGAUAUGCGCAUGGAGGAAACUCUGACGCAGCGACGCCGCGUGACGAUGAGGCCCUCUGGGUGUAAACUUCUGUAGAGAGGGAGAUUUCCCGUUUCGCGGGAUGACGGUACCUCUAAAGUAAGGGUCGGCUAACUACGUGCCAGCAGCCGCGGUAAUACGUAGGACCCGAGCGUUGUCCGGAUUUACUGGGUGUAAAGGGAGCGCAGGCGGAUUUUCAAGUCGAUGGUGAAAUCUUGCGGCUCAACCGCAAAACUGCCGUCGAUACUGUUUAUCUUGAGUGUGGAAGAGAGUGGCGGAAUUCAUGGUGUAGCAGUGAAAUGCGUAGAUAUCAUGAAGAACACCGGUUGCGAAGGCGGCCACUUGGUCCAUUACUGACGCUCAUGCUCGAAAGCGUGGGGAUCAAACAGGAUUAGAUACCCUGGUAGUCCACGCCCUAAACGAUGAAUACUCGGUGUCGGGUCGCAAGACUCGGCGCCUAAGCAAACGCAUUAAGUAUUCCACCUGGGAAGUACGAUCGCAAGGUUGAAACUCAAAGGAAUUGACGGGGGCCCGCACAAGCAGUGGAGCAUGUGGUUUAAUUCGAUGUAACGCGAAGAACCUUACCUGGGCUUGAAAGGCAAGAUUCUAGACGAUGAAAGUCGUUUACCCGCAAGGGGUCUUGUACAGGUGCUGCAUGGCUGUCGUCAGCUCGUGCCGUGAGGUGUUAGGUUAAGUCCUGCAACGAGCGCAACCCCUACACUUAGUUGCCAUCAGGUAAUGCUGGGCACUCUAAGUGGACUGCCUACGCAAGUAGCGAGGAAGGUGGGGAUGACGUCAAGUCCUCAUGGCCCUUACGCCCAGGGCCACACACGUGCUACAAUGGCCACUACAAAGGGUUGCCAAGGCGCAAGCCGGAGCUAAUCCCAAAAAAGUGGUCUCAGUUCAGAUUGUGGGCUGCAACUCGCCCGCAUGAAGCUGGAAUUGCUAGUAAUCGCAGAUCAGCACGCUGCGGUGAAUACGUUCCCGGGCCUUGUACACACCGCCCGUCAAGCCAUGGAAGCUGAGGGUACCCGAAGCCGCUGUGCUAACCGCAAGGAAGCAGGCGUCUAAGGUAAAAUCAGUGACUGGGGCUAAGUCGUAACA
rnacentral:rRNA from 1 species